CUUUCACCUUCGUUUGGGUGUCGUUUCUUUCGAUUUGAGUUUCAGUUUCAUUCCAUAGCUCCUCAUCAAAGGGUGGUGGAGGCUCGUUUCUCGUUUUUCGGUCGGUGGUGGACCAUAUGGGCCUUGUCUUUCAACACAAUCUAGUGAUAUACAGCGGUCAUAGAAUCGCUCAUACGUUGAGUCAUCAAACGAUUGCUCUCUGGGUACGAGAACAGAGCCGAAUCCAUAAUAAUUAGCACCAUCGAUAGCAUAAUAAUGGCACAUAAAGGCAUAAAUUAGGAACCGAACGAGCACGACCUUUGGCUUCGAUUUCGUCGGCCCGCACGUAUUGGGAGUACUUUUUCCAUCAAAGGGUUGUGUAUUGUGUGGCUCGAAGCGCCAUAAAUUAAGGAACGCC